CAGCAGCCACGGGAAUACAGAGGGUGCGAGCGUUAAUCGGAUUUACUGGGCGUAAAGCGUGCGUAGGCGGCUUCUUAAGUCGGAUGUGAAAUCCCUGAGCUUAACUUAGGAAUUGCAUUCGAUACUGGGAAGCUAGAGUAUGGGAGAGGAUGGUAGAAUUCCAGGUGUAGCGGUGAAAUGCGUAGAGAUCUGGAGGAAUACCGAUGGCGAAGGCAGCCAUCUGGCCUAAUACUGACGCUGAGGUACGAAAGCAUGGGGAGCAAACAGGAUCAGAUACCCGAGUAGUCCCUGUCUCUUAUAC
rnacentral:rRNA from 1 species